CCCACGUCUAGCAGCAAAGCGAUAGAUCUUCAUGACUGGCCCAACAACGACAUUCUACAUAACUACCUGACUGAUUUGAUUUAUCCAAAAUAAAAUUUGGUUUAUUACAGCCAUGUUCAUAAUUGGCUCCAACUGUGAUUUGGUUCCAUUCACAUCUACAGCCACUGAGAUUAAUAUCAGUGAGGACCUGGAACCUUUUCAGUAGUAAAUGUGACCAGUCAGAGUGGUCAGAUUCAGUGGAGUUGCCAAGGAGACAGUGACAGAAAGACUUUCUUUGAGGGACUAGCUCCAGGGAGGAGCUAUAGUGUCAGCUUUUCAAAUGCUUCAAGUACCUGCUGCCAACAAGUGCAAACAAAUCCUUAUGGCCAUCCUUAAGAUGAACUCUGC
rnacentral:lncRNA from 1 species